rnacentral:rRNA from 1 species
UUUCCGGUUGAUCCUGCCGGAGGCGACCGCUUUUGGAGUUCGAUUAAGCCAUGCGAGUCGAGAGCCUUAGGGGCUCGGCAUACUGCUCAGUAACACGUGGAUAACCUGCCCUAUUGUCUGGAAUAACCUCGGGAAACUGAGAACAAUGCCGGAUAGCCCACAAUGCCUGGAACGGUCUGUGGGUGAAGAUAGGAUGGGUCUGCGGAGUAUCAAGUUGUAGGGGGUGUAAUGGACCUCCUAGCCAUCGACGCGUACGGGUGUUGGGAGACAUAGCCCGGAGAUGGAUUCUGAGACACGAAUCCAGACCCUACGGGGUGCAGCAAGCGCGAAAACUUCACACUGCAGGAAACUGUGAUGAGGGAACUCCAAGUGCUAUCACUAUGUGGUAGCUUUUCUUGACUAUUAAUCGGUCCAUGGAAUAAGGGCUGGGAAAGACCGGUGCCAGCCGCCGCGGUAAUACCGGCAGCUCAAGUGGUCGUACGCUUUUAUUGGGCCUAAAACGUCCGUAACCUGUUUGGUAAAUCUGUGGGUAAAUCACCAACUUAACUGGUUGAAUUCUGCAGAGACUGCCAGACUAGGGACCGGGAGAAGUGUGGGGUACUCUAAGGGUAGGGUAAAACCUGUCAUCUUAAGGACCCCAUGCAAAGAGCAACUGGAACGAUCGACGGCAGGCACAGCUAGGG